GUGGGGAAUUUUGGACAAUGGGCGCAAGCCUGAUCCAGCAAUGCCGCGUGCAGGAAGAAGGCCUUCGGGUUGUAAACCGCUUUUGUACGGAACGAAACGGUCCUGGCUAAUAUCCGGGGCUAAUGACGGUACCGUAAGAAUAAGCACCGGCUAACUACGUGCCAGCAGCCGCGGUAAUACGUAGGGUGCGAGCGUUAAUCGGAAUUACUGGGCGUAAAGCGUGCGCAGGCGGUGCUGUAAGACAGGCGUGAAAUCCCCGGGCUCAACCUGGGAAUUGCGCUUGUGACUGCAGUGCUGGAGUGCGGCAGAGGGGGAUGGAAUUCCGCGUGUAGCAGUGAAAUGCGUAGAUAUGCGGAGGAACACCGAUGGCGAAGGCAAUCCCCUGGGCCUGCACUGACGCUCAUGCACGAAAGCGUGGGGAGCAAACAGGAUUAGAAACCCCUGUAGUCC
rnacentral:rRNA from 1 species